CGGCCGCCGGCCCGGGCGGGCCAGGCGGUCUCGAUGGCUCCGGCGGCCCGCUCGCCGAGGUGCGGGUACGGGUCCUGCGCGGCUGCC
rnacentral:tRNA from 1 species